rnacentral:lncRNA from 1 species
AUGAGUGUGGAGAAAGUUUCAUGCAAGAAAAGAGUCCAGUUCCGAAUGAUUUCUGCCAAUCUGAAUAAACAUAAGUUGUAUUUAUUUAUUGAACAUUAUUGCCAUUACAGGAAUGAAUUGCAAAAGCUUCUUAAAAGAAACUGUGGAAAGCAAUGGGCUCUGAGUCAUGACAUCAGAGGAAGGAGGAAGAGCUAGCCAUCCCAAAGUACUGAAUACAGUAGAAAUGGCUGGAAAAAGUCCAUCAGAACCUAUAGAAGACUGUGGAUGACAAAAGAAUUUAAGUUGCCAUGUUUAAAAUAAUAAACUCAUUACCCAACAAGAGGUACUUGCUUAC